UACGUAGGGUCCGAGCGUUGUCCGGAAUUAUUGGGCGUAAAGAGCUUGUCGGCGGUUUGUCGCGUCUGCUGUGAAAUUUCGGGGCUCAACCCCGAACUUGCAGUGGGUACGGGCAGACUAGAGUGUGGUAGGGGAGACUGGAAUUCCUGGUGUAGCGGUGAAAUGCGCAGAUAUCAGGAGGAACACCGAUGGCGAAGGCAGGUCUCUGGGCCACUACUGACGCUGAGAAGCGAAAGCAUGGGGAGCGAACAGG
rnacentral:rRNA from 1 species